rnacentral:rRNA from 1 species
GGGUCAGUAGGUUGGUCGUGCCACCGGUACGUACUGGUCUCACUGAUUCCUCCUUCCUGAAGAACCGUAAUGCCAUUAAUUUGGUGUUGCGGGGAAACAGGACUGUUACUUUGAAAAAAUUAGAGCGUUUAAAGCAAGCUAACGCUUGAAUACAUUAGCAUGGAAUAAUGAAAUAGGACGAUCGAUCCUAUUUUGUUGGUUUCUAGGAUUGACGCA